AGACGGGUACGGGGAACACUGCCUACACGAGCGUGACGGCGGAGGGUGUUGUAGGCUCGUCGGUGACCUGCGGCCACCAGCGAGCCUGCUGAGCGGCGGAUCUAUUUAGGGUUUUGGGGCUUUCUAGGGUUUGGGAAGUUGUGGGGAGCGUUCGAGAAAGAGAAAAAAUAAUAAAGAAAUCAGGUUUUAGGUGGUGGAGUUAAGGAAUUAUGCGAGAGAAUUAGCCGAAGUGUAGAGAAUUUGUGUCGUGGAAGGUGAGUUGUUCCCUGAGAUUUGUGAGAGACGAGUGUUAUAUAAUGUAUGUUAUUGUGAACCAUUAGAAAGAAAGCACGCUAGCCUGAGGUGAAGGGGAGUAGACACAAUCUCAUUACCCUGAAAGUAUCAAACUGCUUAAUUCAAUGAGAUUAUGAUGGUAUCUGAGGAGCUGGAUCUGAAUUUCUUAAAUCUUUCUGCUCUGCUAAUAUGUCUGUAGCUGUAUCAAAUUAACUCCUGGAAAAAUGAAGAGUCAGGGGAGGAGUGCUUUUGAGGCAUAGGUGGAUGUUUUCACUAACAUAAUGAAACAUGCUGCAAAGUUAUCAGCUAUCACCCAGUUUGACGAAUUUUUCAUCUUUUGGGGCGAAGAAUUCUGAUAGUGGAUGAUGGCUGAGCUUGGAUGUGGAGGUGGGUAUUGAUAUGUCCUUCCAUUCAAUGUUUUUCAAACAUCAAGGUUUAGUUACGAGUCGUCUGCCAUUGUGGUUUGAGCUACUUCAGUUGCGCAUCCGUGAGAUCCGGAAUAAGGCAUGCUCAUAUUGCAAGUUGAAAUAUUUGGGUCCAUCUACUGAAUCUGUAACUAUAGAGCUGCAGACACUAUGAAGGCCUUGUUGUGGAAUGAAUUAUUUAGCAACACCUGUACUACUUCAAGAUAUGAAGCUUUUGUGAGGUGGUCGACUCUUCCCCUUGGAUUGGUAAACUUAAACACAGACGUAGCUGCUAAUGAUGCACCUGAGUCAACAGGUGAUGCGGGAUAAUUAGAGAUCAUGACUGGAUCCUUAUAUUGGUGCAGGCUACGUGCUGCAUACUGAGCUACUGGCUCUAACUAAAGGGAACUUGGAUUUCGAGAAGCUAGUGCAAAUGGAUAGUGAAAGUGUAAAAAUGCUGAUGAAUGAGGAUGGGUGCUAUGGUUAGUAUAUCCACUUAAUCUAUAACUGCAAGAUGUUUCUGAAGAAGCAAUAAUGGGUGGGUAGAGAGGAAACUUGGCAUGGAUUGAUUGGCUAACACUGGAGCGCAACAGGAUCGCAAGAUCACCAUUUUCCAGCGUCCCCCACUGGAACCUGGUAGAAUUCUGGAUGAUAUUGUGAGAAUGGCUAGACCACGUUUUGUUGGAAAAUCUUUACUUACUUUUCCUGGAUCUGCCCCUCGGAUACACCAAAGAAGUUGAGAUGAUUAAUCUAAUCACCUCCUCCUGUUUUCUAGGAUUCUUAAUUUUGUAAUGGAUGGAUAGAAAGAGAAAACUUAACCCACAGAACUUGGUUUCCACCACUCAAGAAUUUUUGCCCAAUGAACCUUGACGUUCAUCAACUCCUUGAGAUUCCAUACUGCAUGAUCGGUUCUUGUAGCUAUGCUGCAUUCUUCUCUGUUUAAGUUUGAUUUCAGUUGCUUCGCGGAGUGAUUUGAGAAAACUGACCUUGAUUAUGUUUUUGCUGAUCAAUUUUAACAAAGGGAUGAGUGGUGUAUACUCUACUAUAGCACCCAGGUGCCUCUAAAUCACUUCAUAUGUGAAAUUUCUUCUGAUCAGCAUCAUUUUUUUACGAUCCAACUAAAGUUGAUUAUCCUUGUGUGUUUUUUUUGUUGAUUUUAGAAAUAUA